rnacentral:rRNA from 1 species
UACGUAGGGGCUAGCGUUAUCCGGAAUUACUGGGCGUAAAGGGUGCGUAGGUGGUUUCUUAAGUCAGAGGUGAAAUUUUGCAGCUUAACUGUAACAGUGCCGUUGAUACUGUUUGGCUAGGAUUUGGUUGUAGUGUGCGGAAUGUGUGGUGUAGCGGUGAAAUGCUUAGAUAUCACACAGAACACCGAUUGCGAAGGCAGCACACUAAGUCAUUAUUGACGCUGAGGCACGAAAGUGUGGGGAUCAAACAGGAUUAGAUA